GGCUCUGGCUGGCUUCAGGAGCUGCUCGCUGCUGUGGUGUCUGCCAUUUUUCCUCACCAGAAGUUCUGGCAAGGAAAAAUGGUGGGUGCCACGGCAGCGGGCAGCAAGCAGCUCCUGAAGCCAGCCAGAGCCA